CCAAGCUUCAAAUAGAGGACAAUCUGCGUAUGCGGUGUACAGGCCGGAUUUAUCUGCUUUCUAUUUGUCUUCAUAAUAUAUACAAAGUGGCGGCUCUAUGUCGAGAUGAUAGAAACCGCAACGCUCCAUCGACAACAAUAGCGAGGAAAUACCACAACAAUAUUGAAGGUUACACGACAUCUGCGAGUGCAGCUCUAUACAUGAGGGGCAAACGAGCAUGCGGCUCACCUGACGGCAAGUGACCACCGCCGCCCACGGUCACCCACAACACCAACGGCAUUGCAGGUGUGCUAAUGCUUCACGGUUGACUGCAAACGACUUUUGUACAAAGUCAAUGUUGUUAAUUAAUUAUAUAUUAAUUAAUUGAAUUCUAUGUAUUGUAUGUCAUAUGUGUUUUAUAUAAAACAUAUAUCUUUAAUAAAGUAUUU